GAGAGAGGAAGGGGUGGGACUGACGGACCCUGCAACCUCUCCCUCUUGUCUCCAGUUCAGGAAGAGGAUAGCAGUCAGCACACUGAGCCUUCCCUGCUAUCACACAGCUGCAGCAGUGACAGGGGCAGGCGGACAGAGCUGCAAAUGCACCUUGGCACGAGGCCAUGACUUUAUGGGAUGGAAACUGGAGGAGAUCUUCCCUAUGGCCUGUUACGACAACCAGUUCAGCGGUACAUGGGGAGGGAGCAUGACUUCCACUUCCAGACCCAGCUCAUCCUCAGGAGGUUACAGGAUUUUGUACAACAGGCAGCCAGCAUCAUCAUAGGUAAUCACUACAGAUUCCACCAGGAUCUUCCCUGAUCGCAGGCAGAGGGUCUCUGCAAGGGAGAAUGGGAAGCAAGGCAGCCAAAGAGAAUUUCUGAAUUAAAAUAGUUGAGCUACUUCUAUAAACUGUCCAUCACUGUGGUAUAUGAGCAAUAGCAGCCUGGGGACAGAGUUUACUUGACCUCAGUUGUUUCCAGGUCAGUUGUAUGUCAUUCACAAGAGAUGCUACAAAUAUAAUCUGGAAUCUGAAAUAUCAGGAAGGUUCUUUAUGCUUCAGAUAUCACCACCAUUAGGACAGAGCCUGCAAGCAAAACUGAGCUGAAGAUUUUGUUGCUGAGACAAAACAGGCCAGAUUUUUCCCCCCCCUGUCAUUGUGUAGGCUCUUCAGAGCAAACCAACUCUUCAAAGCAUCCACUGCAGAGCAGAAAAAAAAUAAUAAACAAUUUUCAAA